AACGAACGCUGGCGGCAUGCCUAACACAUGCAAGUCGAACGAGACCUUCGGGUCUAGUGGCGCACGGGUGCGUAACGCGUGGGAAUCUACCCUUGGGUUCGGAAUAACAGUUAGAAAUGACUGCUAAUACCGGAUGAUGACGUAAGUCCAAAGAUUUAUCGCCCAAGGAUGAGCCCGCGUAAGAUUAGCUUGUUGGUGGGGUAAUGGCCUACCAAGGCGAUGAUCUUUAGCUGGUCUGAGAGGAUGAUCAGCCACACUGGGACUGAGACACGGCCCAGACUCCUACGGGAGGCAGCAGUGGGGAAUAUUGGACAAUGGGCGAAAGCCUGAUCCAGCAAUGCCGCGUGAGUGAUGAAGGCCUUAGGAUUGUAAAGCUCUUUUACCAGGGAUGAUAAUGACAGUACCUGGAGAAUAAGCUCCGGCUAACUCCGUGCCAGCCGCCGCAGUAA
rnacentral:rRNA from 1 species